rnacentral:rRNA from 1 species
AUGCGAGUCAUUGUAGCAAUACAAGGCAUACGGCUCAGUAACGCGUAGUCAACCUAACCUAUGGACGGGAAUAACCUCGGGAAACUGAGAAUAAUGCCCGAUAGAACACUAUGCCUGGAAUGGUUUGUGUUCCAAAUGAUUUAUCGCCGUAGGAUGGGACUGCGGCCUAUCGGUUUGUUGGUGAGGUAAUGGCCCACCAAGACUAUUACAGGUACGGGCUCUGAGAGGAGUAGCCCGGAGAUGGGUACUGAGACACGGACCCAGGCCCUAUGGGGCGCAGCAGGCGAGAAAACUUUGCAAUGUGCGAAAGCACGACAAGGUUAAUCCGAGUGGUUUGUGCUAAACAGACCUUUUGUUAGUCCUAGAAACACUAACGAAUAAGGGGUGGGCAAGUCUGGUGUCAGCCGCCGCGGUAAAACCAGCACCUCAAGUGGUCAGGAUGAUUAUUGGGCCUAAAGCAUCCGUAGCCGGCUCUGUAAGUUUUCGGUUAAAUCUGUAUGCUCAACAUACAGGCUGCCGGGAAUACUGCAGAGCUAGGGAGUGGGAGAGGUAGACGGUACUCGGUAGGAAGGGGUAAAAUCCUUUGAUCUAUUGAUGACCACCUGUGGCGAAGGCGGUCUACCAGAACACGUCCGACGGUGAGGGAUGAAAGCUGGGGGAGCAAACCGGAUUAGAUACCCGGGUAGUCCCAGCUGUAAACUAUGCAAACUCAGUGAUGCAUUGGCUGUGGCCAAUGCAGUGCUGCAGGGAAGCCGUUAAGUUUGCCGCCUGGGAAGUACGUACGCAAGUAUGAAACUUAAAGGAAUUGGCGGGGGAGCACCACAAGGGGUGAAGCCUGCGGUUCAAUUGGAUUCAACGCCGGAA